UGGGGAAUAUUGCGCAAUGGGCGAAAGCCUGACGCAGCGACGCCGCGUGGAGGAUGAAGGUCUUCGGAUUGUAAACUCCUGUCAGAUGGGAAGAAAGGUUCAUGUUUAAUAAACGUGAAAUAUGACGGUACCAUCAGAGGAAGCACCGGCUAACUUCGUGCCAGCAGCCGCGGUAAUACGAAGGGUGCAAACGUUAUUCGGAAUCACUGGGCGUAAAGGGUGCGUAGACGGUUUAUUAAGUUCGUUGUUAAAGGCUCCGGCCCAACCGGAGUAUUGCGAUGAAAACUGGUGAACUAGAGGGUGAGAGAGAGAAGUGGAAUUCCCGGAGUAGCGGUAAAAUGCGUGGAUCUCGGGAGGAACACCAAUGGCGAAGGCAGCUUCUUGGCUCACAUCUGACGUUGAGGCACGAAAGCGUGGGGAGCAAACA
rnacentral:rRNA from 1 species